rnacentral:rRNA from 1 species
ACUCAAAGGAAUUGACGGGGGCCCGCACAAGCGGUGGAGCAUGUGGUUUAAUUCGACGCAACGCGAAGAACCUUACCUGGGCUCGAACGGCUUCCUAACGGCCGGUGAAAGCCGGCUAUCCCGCAAGGGAGUGGAGUCGAGGUGCUGCAUGGCUGUCGUCAGCUCGUGUCGUGAGAUGUUGGGUUAAGUCCCGCAACGAGCGCAACCCUUGUCCUGUGUUGCAACGUCCCUCAAAAGGGGAUGGCACUCUCAGGAGACCGCCAGCGAUAAGCUGGAGGAAGGUGGGGAUGACGUCAAGUCAUCAUGGCCUUUAUGUCCAGGGCUACACACGUGCUACAAUGGGCGGUACAAAGCGGCGCAAACCCGCGAGGGGGAGCAAAUCGCAAAAAACCGCUCUCAGUUCGGAUUGCAGGCUGCAACUCGCCUGCAUGAAGCUGGAAUCGCUAGUAAUGGCGCAUCAGAACGGCGCCGUGAAUACGUUCCCGGGCCUUGUACACACCGCCCGU